GAGCGGACAGAUGGGAGCUUGCUCCCUGAUGUUAGCGGCGGACGGGUGAGUAACACGUGGGUAACCUGCCUGUAAGACUGGGAUAACUCCGGGAAACCGGGGCUAAUACCGGAUGCUUGUUUGAACCGCAUGGUUCAAACAUAAAAGGUGGCUUCGGCUACCACUUACAGAUGGACCCGCGGCGCAUUAGCUAGUUGGUGAGGUAAUGGCUCACCAAGGCAACGAUGCGUAGCCGACCUGAGAGGGUGAUCGGCCACACUGGGACUGAGACACGGCCCAGACUCCUACGGGAGGCAGCAGUAGGGAAUCUUCCGCAAUGGACGAAAGUCUGACGGAGCAACGCCGCGUGAGUGAUGAAGGUUUUCGGAUCGUAAAGCUCUGUUGUUAGGGAAGAACAAGUACCGUUCGAAUAGGGCGGUACCUUGACGGUACCUAACCAGAAAGCCACGGCUAACUACGUGCCAGCAGCCGCGGUAAUACGUAGGUGGCAAGCGUUGUCCGGAAUUAUUGGGCGUAAAGGGCUCGCAGGCGGUUUCUUAAGUCUGAUGUGAAAGCCCCCGGCUCAACCGGGGAGGGUCAUUGGAAACUGGGGAACUUGAGUGCAGAAGAGGAGAGUGGAAUUCCACGUGUAGCGGUGAAAUGCGUAGAGAUGUGGAGGAACACCAGUGGCGAAGGCGACUCUCUGGUCUGUAACUGACGCUGA
rnacentral:rRNA from 1 species